rnacentral:rRNA from 1 species
UACAGAGGGUGCAAGCGUUAAUCGGAGUUACUGGGCGUAAAGGGCGCGUAGGCGGAUAUGUAAGUGAGAUGUGAAAGCCCUGGGCUUAACCUAGGAACUGCAUCUUAAACUGCGUAUCUAGAGUAUUGUAGAGGGUAGUGGAAUUUCCGGUGUAGCGGUGAAAUGCGUAGAGAUCGGAAGGAACACCAGUGGCGAAGGCGGCUACCUGGACAAAUACUGACGCUGAGGCGCGAAAGCGUGGGGAUCAAACAGG